rnacentral:lncRNA from 1 species
UUUUGUCCCAGAAAUUAAAAUGAGCACAUGAAAAACAAGAGAUCAAAUCCUGCAAAAUCUAAUAAUCUUCAUCUCCAUCAACAUCAUCUCCAUCACCAGACUCAGCACCAACCUCCUCAUAAUCCUUCUCAAGAGCAGCGAGAUCUUCACGAGCCUCUGAGAACUCACCUUCUUCCAUACCCUCACCAACAUACCAAUGCACAAAAGCACGCUUAGCAUACAUAAGAUCAAACUUAUGAUCAAUCCUGGAAAACACCUCAGCAACACUGGUAGAGUUAGAGAUCAUGCACACGGCCCUCUGCACCUUGGCAAGAUCACCACCAGGAACAACAGUAGGAGGCUGGUAAUUGAUACCACACUUGAACCCAGUUGGACACCAAUCAACAAACUGAAUGGUCCUCUUGGUCUUGAUGGUUGCAACAGCAGCAUUCACAUCCUUAGGUACAACAUCACCACGGUACAUCAAACAACAAGCCAUGUAUUUUCCAUGGCGAGGGUCACACUUAGCCAUCAUGGAAGAAG